UAGUCCACGCCGUAAACGAUGAAUACUAGGUGUCGGCCUGUACGGGUCGGUGCCGCAGCAAAUGCAUUAAGUAUUCCACCUGGGGAGUACGAUCGCAAGGUUGAAACUCAAAGGAAUUGACGGGGGCCCGCACAAGCAGUGGAGCAUGUGGUUUAAUUCGAUGCAACGCGAAGAACCUUACCUGGGCUUGAAAAGCAGUGGACCGACUGUGAAAGCAGUCUUCUCUUCGGAGUCGCUGUACAGGUGCUGCAUGGCUGUCGUCAGCUCGUGCCGUGAGGUGUUGGGUUAAGUUCCGCAACGAGCGCAACCCCUACCAUUAGUUGCCAGCAUUCAGUUGGGCACUCUAAAGGGACUGCCGACGUUAAGUCGGAGGAAGGUGGGGAUGACGUCAAGUCCUCAUGGCCCUUAUGUCCAGGGCGACACACGUGCUACAAUGGAAGAUACAAAGGGUUGCCAAGCCGCGAGGUGGAGCUAAUCCCAAAAAAUCUUUCUAAGUUCGGA
rnacentral:rRNA from 1 species